GUCUCUGUGGUGCAAUUGGUUAGCGCGUUCGGCUGUUAACCGAAAGUUUUCUGGUUCAAGCCCAGCCAGGGACG
rfam:Ciona savignyi cont_17268, whole genome shotgun sequence.